CACGUAGGGCGCAAGCGUUGUCCGGAAUUAUUGGGCGUAAAGAGCUCGUAGGCGGUCUGUUGCGUCCGCUGUGAAAACCCGGGGCUUAACCCUGGGCUGGCAGUGGAUACGGACAGACUAGAGGUAGGUAGGGGAGAAUGGAAUUCCCGGUGUAGCGGUGAAAUGCGCAGAUAUCAGGAGGAACACCAGUGGCGAAGGCGGCACUCUGGGCCGGAACUGACGCUGAGGAGCGAAAGCGUGGGGAGCGAACAGG
rnacentral:rRNA from 1 species